rnacentral:rRNA from 1 species
GACAGAGGCCUCAAGCGUUAGGCGGAAUCACUGGGCUUAAAGCGUGUGUAGGCGGAUGCCUAAGUACCUUGUGAAAUCCCACGGCUCAACCGUGGAACUGCUGGGUAUACUGGGCGUCUUGGGCCAUUCAGGGGCGACUGGAACAAGCGGUGGGGCGGUGAAAUGCGUAGAUAUCGAGAGGAACACCUGCGGCGAAGGCGGGUUGCUGGGCUGAUACUGACGCUGAGGCGCGAAAGCUAGGGGAGCGAACGGG